rnacentral:lncRNA from 1 species
CAUCAAAUUCAGAUGAUCAAUAGAAACUCUGGAUAUCUUGCCCAGAAAAGAGUUAAUCUUAUUUGGGACUUUGGGACCUGAUUCAUGCUACUAUCUUGGAGAUGCUAACCCACCAUAUUGUGACUCUUCCAUCUAAUGCUUUGAAGGGAAAUUCAUAUCAUAACAUUAUUUUUUACUAUUUUGCAGGACCUGGUAACUGUGUUACCAUAUGGAGACUUUUUCACAGGAGCCUUUUUGCCAGGUUAUAUAUUGAGGUGCAGAUCAUUUGAAAAUGCUUGUAAGAACCAUCUUGGUCGACCUCCUUCAAAUAAAUGAAAUUUACUUGCGGUUUUAACAAUAAUUAUGGAUUCUCAAAAGUGUAUCCACAUACCGUGAGGCUAAUUCCUGUCACCCUCAUUCCUCAACUUAACUUUUGACCACUCUAGUAUAAUGGUUCAAUGUUUCAAGAUUUGAGUCUGAGAAGGGAGGGAUUCCUGUUCUGUCUAUAGAUGGGGCACAUCCUCAACAGGAGCCCACAAACAGCUGUCCAGAAGGUUUAGCUAACAUUGCUAAGGAAGUUCUGCCCAAAUGGUGCUCACAUAUGGACCUCACCCUGGAUGAGAGGAGAAAUGCUGAAGUAUGGUGUAGUAAAUCGGUGACAGCCUAUACAUACCAAGCUUGCAAUUUUAACAAAUAAAAUGCAUUCGGUUCUUACAAUUGUUUGGGAGGAGCAGGCUCCAUUUGGGUAACAUCUAAUUUUGUGCUUGUGCUAAAGUAGCAGCUUUUUUUCUUUCUUUUGCUGCUAGAGGGCUCCAUUUUAGAAGUUGUUGCUGGUCUUAAUUUCAUUUCAGAAAAACACCUUAGAACACUUAAAUGCUUUCAUCAAGUUCCACUGAGCUUAUCCUGCUUGUGACAUCAUACACGGCCUCAGAAUUCCAUGUUUGCUUUUAACCUAAGUUAUCUCCAUGCCAACAGCAGUGACCAGUAAACUUCUGAAACAUAACCAUCAGCCUGCCUUUCCAGCAACUGGGACAUUUCCUUUUGCUUUUUUAUAUUAAAGCAUGAUGGAAGAGUUGUGUGUUGGCUGAAACCUUUUUGUGGACAUUUCAUUUCUCAGCCCAACUCCAGCUGUUGUUGCUGCUGCUUUCUGUUUGGUAUAAAUAACAAUCUCUAAGAGGACGAUUAUGAGAAUCUAUGAAAUUGAUCAGAGAGUGUGUCUGGAUCAACUAUUGUGAAGUUAUGUGUUUUAUAAGUGAGAUAGUUAAGAAGAUAGGCUUCUGCACCAGCUAAGGAACAAUGGAUACUUCCUAAAGGACUGAAUUCCUGCUUCCUUAAGGAUGGAGGCCAUUUUUUUGUAUUUUGUUUCUUUCUGAUAAUGAGGAUACAGCCAGCAAGAUUGGGUUACAAGCAUAUGUAUGUGUGUGUGUAAAUCUUGCUGACUGUAUUCUCUCUCUCUCUCUCUCUCUCUCUCUCUCUCUCUCUGUGUGUGUGUGUGUGUAUCUAUCUCCCCACCCUUUGCAUCCUACUUUCCCUCUCCAUUUCCCUCUCUCCUUUAUCCUCCUCCUCCAAUCUUCUUUCUGGCAGAGUCAUCUAGGGACAAAUGUCUAUUAAGACCAGGCUGGGAAGAGACUAUACCUAUAAAGAUGUGUCAUUCAUUCUUUUGGAUAAAAGUUGGUAGAUCCACUGCUGGAUUAAACUCUCUUCCUAUUAAUCAUGGAUAAUGAGACCUUUCAAGUAGAGCUAUAUUUUUCUUCAUCUCUUACAAAAUUCCAGCCCCAAUGCUGGAAGCUGUUUUGGAUUCCCAAGCAUUUUCUUUUUGUGGAAAUUACCCUUUCAGUCAUUAUCUCUUUUUUUCACCUUGUGAUUUGACUGCAUGCCAUGAGCCAAAGGAAGCCAAUGCUUGCCCUAAAGACCACUUCUUCACAACUUCCAUGAGAUAGAACUGUUUUUGAAAUUUUGACUGCAUGUCAACAUUUAUUUUAUGUCCUGGACAAUACUGAGGGGUUUUUUUUAAGAAGGACAAAGCUGCAAUCAUCUGUGGAGCAAUUAUAAAUUGGCCUUUUUGAAGAUGAUGGAGAGAUGUAACGUCUUGAAUGGCAAAAGACAAACAGCCACACCAGCAGAAAAAUUGAUAUACUUGUUAGAGACAUUGUUUCAUUUUUCCCCCCAGCAUGCUUUCUUUUAGCCAUGCACCUCUUAAUUCCAUAGUACAAAUUAUCCUGGUUUCACUUCCUUUUUCAUGGUUAAGAGUUUGUUUUGAAUAGUUUGUUUUCAUUAUAUAUUUGGAUUAUAUUAUAAUAAUUGUAAUGUUUGGAGAUUUGAAUUUCUUUAAUUAAAAAAUAAAACUUGUUUUUUCUUUUCAUAGACUUUUACUUUUGCAGGGGGGGGUAAUUUGACAUUCCCUCUCAUGUGCAUACACAAAAAGUUGUUCAUUAUAUUUGCUUUUUACCUUAGAUUCAUAUGCAGAAAUUCUCCAGAUACAAUCUGUAAAAUGACCAAGUUCCAACAGCCUUUGAUCAGUUUGGCUGGUACCACAGUUGGCAUAUUUGACUAACCUCAUAACAAAAGCCAGCCACUGAUGACAUGAUGGAGACCACAAUAGGAACCAAAAUCGCAUGGUUUGAUAUUUUAAUGUGUAGCUAGGGCAGGAAUGGCUUGCUAGUCUAUGGUCUCGGGAACAGGAGUAGAUAGCUCAACAUUUCAAGUAUCCAUUGGAUCCAUGCUGGGUUAAGAAGAUGGCACCUCAGAUGUUAGAAGGCAACAAGUAAAUAUCUUUAUGGGGACAAAUUCAGACAGUGGUAUCUCUCGUCCUAUAUAGUGGCCUUUCACCACUACCCCAGGUUAUAUCUCAUGGUGCACCAGGACAGACCCAUCAGGGAUCAUAGCCUCAGCUCUCUUUUGCUGCUCCUCUGCUGUUCUUUCCUAGCCUCUGGAUUUCUGUGAUAAAGAGCCUAGUUCUCCAAAU